rnacentral:rRNA from 1 species
NNNNNNNUUGAAAAAAUUAGAGUGCUCAAAGCAAGCUUAUGCUCUGAAUACAUUAGCAUGGAAUAACGUGAUAGGAGUCUGGUCCUAUUGUGUUGGCCUUCGGGACCGGAGUAAUGAUUAAUAGGGACUGUCGGGGGCAUUCGUAUUUCAUUGUCAAAGGUGAAAUUCUUGGAUUUAUGAAAGACGGACCACUGCGAAAGCAUUUGCCAAGGAUGUUUUCAUUAAUCAAGAACGAAAGUUGGGGGCUCGAAGAUGAUUAGAUACCGUCCUAGUCUCAACCAUAAACGAUGCCAACCAGGGAUCGGCGAAUGUUGCUCUAAGGACUCCGCCAGCACCUUCUGAGUAAUCAGAGUGUUUGGGUUCCGGGGGGAGUAUGGUCGCAAGGCUGAAACUUAAAGGAAUUUACGGAAGGGCACCACCAAGAGUGGAGCCUGCGGCUUAAUUUGACUCAACACGGGGAAACUUACCAAGCCCAGACAUAGUAAGGAUUGACAGAUUGAGAGCUCUUUCUUGAUUCUAUGGGUGGUGGUGCAUGGUCAUUCUUAGUUGGUGGAGCGAUUUGUCUGGUUAAUUCCGAUAACGAACGAGACCUCAGCCUGCUAACUAGCUACACGGAGUUUCCCUUUCGCGGCCAGCUUCUUAGAGGGACUAUGGCCGUUUAGGCCAUGGAAGUUUGAGGCAAUAACAGGUCUGUGAUGCCCUUAGAUGUUCUGGGCCGCACACGCGCUACACUGAUGCAGCAAAUGAGAUUUUCUUUCUGGUUCGAGAGGAUUGGGAAAUCUUCUCAAAUUGCAUCGUGAUGGGGAUAGACCAUUGCAAUUAUUGGUCUUCAACGAGGAGUUCCUAGUAAGUGCGUGUCAUCAACUCGUGUUGACUACGUCCCUGCCUUUUUUACACACCGCCCAUUGCUCCUACCGAUUGAAUGAUCCGGUGAGGUGUUCGAAUUGCGUCGACGAUGGUGGUUCGCCGCCAUCGACAUCGUGAGAAGUUCAUUGAACCUUAUCAUUUAGAGGAAGGAGAAGUCGUAACAAGGUUACCGUAGGUGAACUUAAGGUAG